rnacentral:tRNA from 1 species
UAUGGCAGAAAUCAGUGCAUUGGAUUUAAGAUCCUUCCAUAAAGAAUAAAAUUCUUUUAUUAAAA